rnacentral:rRNA from 1 species
GUGGGGAAUAUUGGACAAUGGGCGAAAGCCUGAUCCAGCCAUGCCGCGUGUGUGAAGAAGGUCUUCGGAUUGUAAAGCACUUUAAGUUGGGAGGAAGGGCAGUAAGUUAAUACCUUGCUGUUUUGACGUUACCGACAGAAUAAGCACCGGCUAACUUCGUGCCAGCAGCCGCGGUAAUACGAAGGGUGCAAGCGUUAAUCGGAAUUACUGGGCGUAAAGCGCGCGUAGGUGGUUUUGUAAGUUGGAGGUGAAAUCCCCGGGCUCAACCUGGGAACUGCCUCCAAAACUGGAUGACUAGAGUACGGUAGAGGGUAGUGGAAUUUCCUGUGUAGCGGUGAAAUGCGUAGAUAUAGGAAGGAACACCAGUGGCGAAGGCGACCACCUGGACUGAUACUGACACUGAGGUGCGAAAGCGUGGGGAGCAAACAGGAUUAGAAACCCUGGUAGUCC